AGUCACUGACAUUAGAUACCCGCGUAGUCCAGGGUGUAAACGCUGCAGACUUGGUGUUGGAAGCCCUUUGGGGGCAUUCAGUGCCGGAGAGAAGUUGUUAAGUCUGCUACUUGGGAGUACGUCCGCAAGGAUGAGACUUAAAGGAAUUGGCGGGGGAGCACCGCAACGGGAGGAGCGUGCGGUUUAAUUGGAUUCAACACCGUAAAACUCACCAGGGAAGACUGUUACAUGAAGGCCGAGAUGAAGACUCUGCUAGAUUUUCAG
rnacentral:rRNA from 1 species